rnacentral:rRNA from 1 species
CCUACGGGAGGCAGCAGUGGGGAAUAUUGGACAAUGGGCGCAAGCCUGAUCCAGCAAUGCCGCGUGAGUGAUGAAGGCCUUAGGGUUGUAAAGCUCUUUUACCAGGGAUGAUAAUGACAGUACCUGGAGAAUAAGCUCCGGCUAACUCCGUGCCAGCAGCCGCGGUAAUACGGAGGGAGCUAGCGUUGUUCGGAAUUACUGGGCGUAAAGCGUACGUAGGCGGUUAUUCAAGUCAGAGGUGAAAGCCCGGGGCUCAACCCCGGAACUGCCUUUGAAACUAGGUAGCUAGAAUCUUGGAGAGGUCAGUGGAAUUCCGAGUGUAGAGGUGAAAUUCGUAGAUAUUCGGAAGAACACCAGUGGCGAAGGCGACUGACUGGACAAGUAUUGACGCUGAGGUACGAAAGCGUGGGGAGCAAACAGGAUUAGAUACCCUGGUAGUCCACGCCGUAAACGAUGAUAACUAGCUGUCCGGUCACUUGGUGACUGGGUGGCGCAGCUAACGCAUUAAGUUAUCCGCCUGGGGAGUACGGUCGCAAGAUUAAAACUUAAGGAAUUGACGG